rnacentral:tRNA from 1 species
GAAAAUUUAGUUAACUAAAAUAACAUUAAUAUGUCAAAUUAAAAUAAUCUAUAGAUAAUUUUCU